rnacentral:rRNA from 1 species
UGAGGAAUAUUGGGCAAUGCCCGCAAGGGUGACCCAGCAACGCCGCGUGGAGGAUGAAUGUCGUAAGAUUGUAAACUCCUGUUAGAGGGGAAGAAUAGUACCGGUUGGACCGGUAUAUGACUGUACCCUCAGAGAAAGCCCCGGCUAACUACGUGCCAGCAGCCGCGGUAAUACGUAGGGGGCAAGCGUUGUCCGGAUUUACUGGGUGUAAAGGGCGCGCAGGCGGGAUAAAAAGUCAGUGGUGAAAUCCUACAGCUUAACUGUAGAACUGCCUUUGAUACUGUUAGUCUUGAGUGCGGGAGAGAGAGACGGAAUUCCAGGUGUAGGGGUGAAAUACGUAGAGAUCUGGAAGAACACCAGUUGCGAAGGCGGUCUCUUGGUCCGACACUGACGCUGAGGCGCGAAAGCGUGGGGAGCAAACA